rnacentral:lncRNA from 1 species
UAUAUAUAUAGGUCCAACUACUAUACUAUCAAUAGUACCAAACUUUUAAUACUAUCGAGUUUUCUGACGUUAGAUCUAACAUUUAAUCAUUUUCACCCGUUAUAUCAUACUAUUCAAUAAACCACCGACUCAACUCUAGGAGAUCACUAUCAUCCUAGCCGCAUAUUUUUUCAUCCAACGGCCAAAAACUCGAUAGCGCCAAACUCUUGAUACUAUCGAUAGUAUAGUAGCAUAUAUAUAUAUAUAUAUAUAUAUAUAUAUAUAUAAUAUAUAUAUAGAGAGAGAGAGAGAGAGAGAGAGAGAGAGAGAGAGAGAGAGAGAGAGAGUAAGGCUACUAUGCUAUCGGAAGCACGGAGCCUUCCGUGCUUCCAGCUCGUUUUCGAUGUUGCGACUUUCGAAUCGUCAAUCGGCUCCGUUAAACUUGAUCUAGAGUAUUUGAAGUACCUAGAAAUAAAUUUUAUGAUUUUUCGAUAUCAUUUGCCUAGUGAUCGAAGGGGCUCAAAAUC